UAUGUACUCCCUCCGUCCGGAAAUACUUGUCGGAGGAAUGGAUGUAUCUAGACGUAUUUUAGUUCUAAAUACAUCCAUUUUUAUGCAUUUCUUCGACAAGUAUUUCCGGACGGAGGGAGUACCUU
rnacentral:pre_miRNA from 1 species